UUUAAACUCAGAUCCAAUGAAACUCCUAUAGUUUUAUUUAACUCCAGAGCAUUCUGUGUGCUGUAACAAUGGGGCAGAGUCUCACUGCUGAUUAUGGCACAGGCAUCUGGGAUAUUACAUAGAGAUCCAACCACUGUAACACCAAGGCCUUACAGUCAAAAGAGAGAACUAUGUAAGGGAGAGUCUGUUCUAACAGAGGUCGUGUAAGGGAAAUGCAGCAGGCCCAGGGAAUCUGUUGUGUCCAGGGAAUCUUAAGCCCAUACAAGGACAGCCUGGCUGUUCCAUUUUCUAUGAAGCUGGGAAUAGUACUGAGUUCCUCAGAUCAUUCUUCUCCUUACUCUUUCCUAUAAUUUCAGGAUCAUGCAAGAGUCAAGGGAUUUCACAGAUUUCAGACUUUCCUGCCCCCAUAUCUAUAUUUAUAUUUGUAUGUCUGUAUAUCUAUAUCUACAUCUAAAUCCAUAUAUCUGUGAUCUAUCUGGCUAUCUCCCUAUCAUCUAUCAUUAUCUCUCAGUCAUCUAUCUAUCAUCUACCUAUCUAUAUUAUAUAUGUAGAGAGACAGAGAUACAUACUCUCCAGGUUCUCUAGAGAGCCCUGACUAUUACAGGUAGUUACUAAAUAUGAGGGACAGGAAGCAUAUUUGCAAGGGCAGAGGAGCAUCUUAUUUCCCAAGUGUAGUGUGCAGUUCCGUGGAGCUCUAAGUGAGCGAAUGUUUCAAACACCCCUAAUGCACUGUGUUCAAUGGUUCCCAAAGAGACAUCAUCUGUACGUCUGGCCUGCACUGCCGCAACAAGGCCUGAGGCUUUGCAUCAGAAAGGGCCUCCAAACCAGGAGGGCUGCGAGAGGAAAAGAGAAAUGCCUUUUCUUGGGAUUGGUGGGAAUAAACUAGCUUAGAAUCUGGAUUUAAAUAAAAAGGCCACGUGGCUGCAUUCUCUGCAAGGUUUGAAUUUGGUCCAAACUGAGAAGUGGAUGUGCCUCCCGGAGCAGGUUGAUCUUGAAAAGGAGAAAUAACUGGGGUUAAGCUGAGUCUCUCAGGAGGCCAAGAGUACUUCCUUUCUGGGUGCUGCUUGUGUUGGGUUGGCCAGGGUUCAAGUGGCAUCUCAUUCCCCCAUCUCUCCAACAAGUGGGCCAGCAUCCACGGUCCUUCCUGCUUCUCUGCUCAUCAUGGGGAUGAUCGACUCAGUUCAGAGCUUUGGCCAAGAACUGUCUCAGUAGGUGACAAGGGCAGCCUGCGCAGUGGCUCAGGAAAUGGGAAGAGGCUUCAUUCCCUGCAUUUGGAGGGAUGGGCUCAGCCUGAAUUCUGUUUAAAAUACUACUGAGAAAGAUCACUGGAGUGGAGUUGGACAGAUGCUUAUAAUAACUGGAAGUUCUCUCUCACACUACACAAAAUCAGCAACUGUCUGUGCAGGAGACUGGCUGUCUUCCAUUUGCUAGAAAAGAAGCCAGAGAAAAUAGUCCUAAAAACCAGUAUAGAGGGUUUGGAUUAGCCAAUUGGGGUCUUUUCUGAUGUGGGUAGACAGGGAAAGGCUUUUUCAGGAAGAGGGAGCAACUCCUGUUUGGUGCCUCUGGAGUUUGUCUCACAGGAUCUUAAAAAAAGUCUUGUCAGAAAGGACCAAGAAUGACGCCCCCACGCAGUGCAUGGCAGGCACAUCCUGGACCUACACAAGGUGAUUUAUGCGUGGUCACUUUUCUGCAUCUGACAACAACCCUGAGAGAUGAUGCAGGUGAGAACCUCAGAGAUGACUGCACAAGGUUGCAUAAUCAUACACACAGGAAGAUUGAUAAAGCCCAGUAAAGUCAGUCUGCGCUGGGAGAGCAGGAACAGUAUUGAUCAGCUGCCACUUCUUCUUACUUCUUGAUAAUAGUUAAUCUGUGACCCCACUUUGCAGAGCACUGAUGGGGCUGUAAAGCCAUUAGUCCAAAGGAUGAGAUCAGGUGGAAGUGGGGAGGAGAUGCUUCAGGCUUUCCCAAAUCUCACCAGGUCCCAGAGCUUUGGAAUGGUGAAUCAGGCACAGUGCCCUCUGGCCAAAAUAGUAGCCCUGAGGAUGGGGGCUCCCUGCAGAGUAAUCAGCUCUUUCAAGUGUGGGCUUUGGCUCUCCAGCCCGAUGGUGAGCUCCUUAAGCACAGGAAUGUUUCUAGAGAAACACAGUGGAAGGGGACCUUUACAAAGAUCAGGACAUUUCUUCAGUUACAAGUUUGCAUAUGGAAAUGCUAAAAAGUGAGUUCACCUGUGAAUGUUGCAGCCCCAACCGCCUUCAGGGAGUGUUUGUGGGUAAUUUUGAACAAGAGUCCUGGGAAUCCCAGUUCAUGUCUAAGGCUUUUCCACUUUCUAAUGUUAAUUUUAUACCCAUAUCUCUCUUCCCCUAGGUUUUUAGACUCUUGUCUGGUACUCAAAAAGACAUGCUAAUUAAAUGGCAGGGAGACCAAGAUUUAAAGUCAGCUGCUGCCAAUGGGAAGGUGCCAGGUCUCGUCUUUUAUAGACAGAAUCCUUCUCAGGUUCAUUCCCUGGGAUUCUCUGUGCAUCGCUGACAGUCCGGACCCUGUAUGGCAACCUGCAUAUGUCACUUCCUGCAGCCAGCGGCCCUUGAUUGCCACAGGUCCGUCUUCCCCUUCCUAAGGAGCUGGACACUCCCUGUCCACCUCUCCUGACGCUGCUGCAGCCCCCGCGCCUACCUGGAGACCACUGCUCACCUGGAUGUCCACUUCUCAUGGGUCACAGGGUCAGGCAGGGACUGAGCUCUAGGGAGUGGGAGAGUCCUUUUAGCCCAGGUGUGGGAAUUAAGAGAGGAUUCUGUACAUAAGGGCUGAGGGAGGAGGUGAUGGCAGCUCUCCAGACAAACAGAAACCACACCCAGGGGGAGGAAAGACCAGGGAGGGGACUCUCCAUUCCAGCUCUGUGAACACCAGAGACAGCGCUUGCUGUGAGCCUUUGCAGCUUUCCUUGCUUCAAAUGCUCUGAUUUUUCUCAUUGCUGAGCACAUUGAACAGGAAACGAUAACAAACUCAGAGAAGAUGCACAUUCAUUGAAGCACGGAGGGAGAUUGUAAGCCAGAGGCAUUGCAUUUUGGUAGUCAAAGUCAGAAGCCACAGGCAGUGGUGGCAGAGAGGGAAUAAGACAGAUGAGCUUCCAGAGGGAUCUCAGGAGAGAAGAGUCUGAUGGUCUAGGAUCUAGAAGCAUCCAUAGAGCUUUGUGGUAGAGUUCUGCUGGCUGCGACGGUUGCCUCCCACCACCCCAGGCCCGGCAGGGAGACUCAGGGAGCAGUAUGGGCCGGCAGAGUGCUUAGUGCAGGAGCUAGGCGACCCAGGCUUCUGCUUACUCACCUACAAAAUGCUGUUGUGUUAUCUUCACAAUUCAUUCAAACACCCUGUUUAACAAAAACAGUGUACUCCACUGAAUUUUUUUUUUUUUAAAUCCUGCCCUUUUCGGAAAAGCACUAAUUGUUCUGUGUCCAUGGUAACAGGUAACUGCCAGUCUGGUUUAGUCCCACAUAAUAGAUUGAGGGCAGCUUCCCUACUCCCUGGCCCACCAGAAGCAGAGCCAUUUCAGAUGCCAGUAGAGGAAGUUGCUCCCAUGCAAAGCAAGCCACUUGUUCUCUACUUGCUGCCAUCCAGGGCUGAGCCAUGAAAUAACUUCCUUCUGGAGCUCGUCAUGAUACUUAAGUCCCUUUGGGUUUCUGGGAGAGCUGCAUUGUGCAGUCUGAGCAGCUGGACCCAGGAGCAGCUGAUGAGAAAAGCAAGCAGAGCAGGGCUUUGGAAACACACCUGGUGAUGGGGAAAUGCCAACUCAGAUGCCAGCACCUCGUCUGAGUCCAGCACAACAAGCAGCCUGUAAGGCUUCCCAAAGUUCAUUGUGGCCUGAAGGACCCGGGCAGUUCUGAUGCAACCAUUGGCUCCUCCAGGAUCCUCCUGGAGAAUCACAGAGCACUUGGUGGCACUCAGCAGGUCUUGGGCUUAACCAAGCCCAAAUGCCUGCCUCAGCUGCACUCCCUGUGCAUCUGCAAGGCUGCCCUGGCCCUGCCUGUCUUCAGGAGCAGACAGAAAGGUUGGGACCUUAAGCAGGGUCCACAGGCUUUCAGACAUUUGCCCUGGUGGCCUGUGAGGAGCUGGGGUGGACAUGACCCUGGCUCUGUGGCAUUGUCCGGUCUUGCAGCCUAGAAAGGGCCUGAUAUGUGAGGCCAUCCCUGCCCUCAGCUGAAGGCCCUGCUUAGGACCUGGGGCCACCUGGCCUGACAGAGUGACCACAGAGCACUUUUUUUGGUGACCAAUUCUUAGAAAAUAGGGCGAGCACCCGGAAAGAUGCUCCGUAACCUUAGCCUUUUACAUGCACUUCAGAAGAAUGAUCAACUGUGUGCUCUCACCCCUGCCACCCUGCCACACAGCACCCUGGGGUCAGCAAUGGGGAGAUCACGGCUGCAGGCAGUGGAGGGUGUGCCAGGGAAGGCACUCGGCUGGGCCUUGGGAGUGGGGCAGGACACAGAGCAGGGCUCCCCUUUGCUCACAGGCCUGGAGGGGGCCACGGGUCAGGGGUGUGUCUGUAGAAUGCCCAUAGAAUCUGUCAUCUAAGUUGGAAAUUUUUGUGAACGACAGGGAUGCUAUUAACAAUUAUAUCAGAACUGUCUAGGAAAGAUUGCACUUUAUGGUUACCUAAGAAUAUGAAAUGGAUUUGCAUUGCUCUGAUGGCCAGUGAUGAUGAGCAUUUUCACACCAGUUAGAAUGGCAAUCAUUAAAAAGUCAGGAAACCACAGGUGCUGGACAGGAUGUGGAGAAAUAGGAACACUUUUACACUGUUGGUGGGACUGUAAACUAGUUCAACCAUUGUGGAAGUCAGUGUGGCGAUUCCUCAGGGAUCUGGAACUAGAAAUUCCAUUUGACCCAGCCAUCCCAUUACUGGGUAUAUACCCAAAGGACUAUAAAUCAUGCUGCUAUAAAGACACAUGCACACGUAUGUUUAUUGCGGCAUUAUUCACAAUAGCAAAGACUUGGAACCAACCCAAAUGUCCAACAAUGAUAGACUGGAUUAAGAAAAUGCGGCACAUAUACACCAUGGAAUACUAUGCAGCCAUAAAAAAUGAUGAGUUCAUGUCCUUUGUAGGGACAUGGAUGAAAUUGGAAACCAUCAUUCUCAGUAAACUAUCGCAAGAACAAAAAACCAAACACCACAUAUUCUCACUCAUAGGUGGGAACUGAAUAAUGAGAACACAUGGACACAGGAAGGGGAACAUCACACUCUGGGGACUGUUGAGGGGUGGGGGGAGGGGGGAGGGAUAGCAUUGGGAGAUAUACCUAAUGCUAGAUGACGAGUUAGUGGGUGCAGCGCACCAGCAUGGCACAUGUAUACAUAUAUAACUAACCUGGACAUUGCGCACAUGUACCCUAAAACCUAAUGUAUAAUAAUAAUAAAUAAAUAAAUUUUUUAAAAAAA